rnacentral:lncRNA from 1 species
UCCAGAACGGAGGGAAAUUNNNNNNNNNNNNNAGCCACGCGGCUUGUGGUACUUUUGUUUUGGCAGCGCCAGGAAACUCAUACAUGGAGCGGGAGGGGAGCCCCUGCAGCCUCACCCACCCGGCAACAGAGGGGAAACCAAGGCACUGGGAGCAAGAGAGCGAGAGGUCCUCACGGAGCCCAGGUUUGGGGCUCAGCUCUGACUAUCUGGGUCUCCCCAGGGAGGUCAGUGCAGCUCUCCGAACACCACUGUCUGUGAAGAACAGGGCUCCUGGGUGGUGUAGACGAGGGGUCUGUGUUUCUGUCUUCUCCGAGGACGAGGACGGCGCUGUCUCAUUUCCUGGGCGCCAGGGUAAGUCACGAAGUCGGGCGCAGCCACGUCUGUCCUUCAUCGUCUGGCCUACUUCGCACAGUGUCCGCAAGGCUCGUCCACGUUGUAUUCCUUCCUUUCGAAGGCUGAAUAAUAUUCUCUUUAUGGAUAGACCACAUUCCGUUUGUCCAUCAUCCAUCACCGGACAUUUGGGUUGCUCCCACCUUUUGGCUAGUGUGAGUCACGUUGCUGUGACCAUGGCCGCACAAAUCUGGAAGGCCCUGCUUUCAACUCAUGGGGUAUAGACCCAGGGAGAAAUUGCUGGGUCAUAAGGUCAUUCUAUGGGGCAUGGUGGUUUCAGAGAGGGGCAUGUUUUGCAACUUGGCUGAGAGAAGUCAGGGAAGAUAUGCUGAAGGGGCUGGGAAAGUGUUUCUUGCUCUCUCUCUCUUUUUUUUAAAGUAGGCUCCACGUGCAACCUGGGGCUUGAACUCACGACCCUGAGAUUGAGAGUCACGUGCUCUACCAACCCAACCAGCCAGGCGCCCCAGUGUGUCUUCGAUGUACAAAAACAGCCCUCCACAAAAAGCUGCUGGAAUCAGGGAGUCCGGAGUCUGUGAACAUGGGUGGGAAAUCAUCAUGUGCUGCGUUUAGCACUUCCCUCCUUUAUGUAAGUGAGCAAGGACCCCACCCAGGGCCUAGGCCUUGGUCACCAACAGUGUCACUGAUGGGUUCAGCCCAUGUUUCAUUUAUUGUGGAAAUUUCAGAAUAUCAUUUAAACUCAAGUCAUGGUAGUUCUUUUUUUUUUUUUUUUUUUUUAAAGAUUUUAUUUAUUUAUUCGACAGAGAUAGAUACAGCCAGCGAGAGAGGGAACACAAGCAGGGGGAGUGGGAGAGGAAGAAGCAGGCUCAUAGCAGAAGAGCCUGAUGUGGGGCUCGAUCCCAUAACGCCGGGAUCACGCCCUGAGCCAAAGGCAGGCGCUUAACCGCUGUGCCACCCAGGCGCCCCAAGUCAUGGUAGUUCUUAAAUCCACCACUAGAUAUUAUUAUUUAGUGUAUCAUUAAGAAGGACAUAUAUUAGCAUAUCACAUUUAAACAAUUUGUUGAAAACUUUAAUGUAAUUGAUUUCCUUUGUAAUCUUAUGUAUUUUGCCUUAACUGUUUAAAAACAUGAUACUGAGAAGGGGUUCAUCAGUUGUCAAAAGCCUGGCUUAGCUAAUGUUAGGAAGAUGAUGUGAUGUCUGGAGCCCUGGCAGCCUUCUUUUGACUCUGAGGGGCUUAGCCUGCAGGUAAAGCUGACUCACUAAGAAUGGCAGAGUGAGGAGUGGGGGAAGUUUAAGGGUCCUUUCCCAGCUGCUACCAGAAUUAACCAACCCUGGAAACUCCCCUCUUUGGGGCUUCUCAUUUCUUCCCAUUAACUAAUAGCUUCCUUGUUUGGCCAGCUGAGUCAGGAUUUUCUUUCUUAUGCAUUGAUGGUACCGUGACUGAAAGAGGGUGUUUCCAAAGGGGUCCAGGAAAAAAAAGAAGGGUGAGGACAGAAUCCUUCAGAGCCUUUGCAUGAAUUAGAAAAAUGUGCUCCUCUGGGUACAUGAAAAGUGCCCUAGCUGGGGGCUGUGACUUUGGGCCAAAAUAAAAGCCCUUUCUCUUCCA